CCUACGGGAGGCAGCAGUAGGGAAUCUUGCACAAUGGGGGAAACUCUGAUGCAGCAACGCCGCGUGAGUGAGGAAGUAUUUCGGUAUGUAAAACUCUAUCAGCAGGGAAGAGCAAAGAAGGUACCUGCAAAAGAAGCCCCGGCUAACUACGUGCAAGCAGCCGCGGUAAUACGUAGGGGGCAAGCGUUAUCCGGAUUUACUGGGCGUAAAGGGAGCGUAGACGGAAAGGCAAGUCAGAAGUGAAAACCCAAGGCUCAACCAUGGGACUGCAUUUGAGACUGUCCAACUAGAGUACGGGAGAGGUAAGAGGAAGUCCUAGUGUAGCGGUGAAAUGCGUAGAUAUUAGGAGGAACACCAGUGGCGAAGGCGUCUUACUGGACCGAAACUGACGUUGAGGCUCGAAAGCGUGGGGAGCAAACAGGAUUAGAUACCCUUGUAGUC
rnacentral:rRNA from 1 species